UACGUAGGUGGCAAGCGUUGUCCGGAAUUAUUGGGCGUAAAGCGCGCGCAGGCGGUCCUUUAAGUCUGAUGUGAAAGCCCACGGCUCAACCGUGGAGGGUCAUUGGAAACUGGGGGACUUGAGUGCAGAAGAGGAAAGCGGAAUUCCACGUGUAGCGGUGAAAUGCGUAGAUAUGUGGAGGAGCACCAGUGGCGAAGGCGGCUUUCUGGUCUGUAACUGACGCUGAGGCGCGAAAGCGUGGGGAGCAAACAGG
rnacentral:rRNA from 1 species